UCUUGCUGUUUGAAAUAUGUAAUCCCUUGUAAUCCUAAGUAAUCUCCUUCCUACAGCGAGAUUCAAACCACACCAGCACCAAGGUAAUGGUACUAGGGACGACCACCACCACCACCACCACCACCACCACCACCACCAGUACGGACUCUCAGCUGCAGGCCCGCCACACAGGUGAUCGCAGACGUGACCCGCCACGCCCCUCGCCUUUGCCUUCGCCGCCUUCCCGCAAGCCAGGAAGGUGAUAUUCCUCGAGGAUGAUGUGCUGCCCAGCCCUGACUUCCUGUGGUUCUUCCAGCAGACGGCGGCACUGCUGGACGAGGAUCCCACUCUGCUUGCCGUCACCGCUCAUAACACUUACUCCGUGGCAGGGCGCGGCUUGGACCCCACUCGCCUUCUGAGGGGUGCCAUGCCACCUUCAGUGGGGCUGGAUGGCCGACAGGAGGCUGCUGGAGGCAUGGGUGCCGGAGAACUGGGGUGACUGGGACUACUGGGUGCUGGCGUGGGUCUCGCGCUAAGGGGCUGGACUUGGUGUUCCCUGAGCUGUCUCGUUCUCUCCCAUGCGGGCAGCGGCGGCACUCACAUAGACGGCUUUCCACCAGGGCAUCGCUUUCGAUCACCAGGCUGCCUUCCUCCCCGCCCCCAUCCCGCCCGCCACGCCCAUGCCCAGUUCAGUCCGCGUAAAGGGUUCUUACACGCCCGCACGAGCACCCUUUUUGACUACUACAAGAUCUCUGUCUGCCGCGCCCACCACCUCCCCGCCUCUUCUUAUCAACCUCACUGAUGUUAGCGGCGUGGUGAGGCACAGGUAUUCGGCGCGGCUUCGGAAUGAUCUGGCGCAGGCUACUCCGAUCACCAUGCAAACGAUUGACC